rnacentral:lncRNA from 1 species
UGGUAGGGGGUUGCACAAAGGCUGACUCUUAUAUAGCACUACUUUGGCUAUGGUGAGAGGAUCGUCAGUGGGGGGCAAUGGAGUUAUAUGCUCUUGUUCUCACCAUACUCUCUUUCAUUUUUUGACUGGACUGGUGGCCCUUCUUCUAGCACCAAACUAUUACUGCAGGACUCCGAUUCGAUGAUGAUGUGGCUAAGGUCGGAUGCCAUCUAAGGAUCAGAUGAUGAUGUGGCUAAGGUCGGAUGCCAUCUAAGGAUCAGAACACCAA